GACGAACGCUGGCGGCGUGCUUAACACAUGCAAGUCGAGCGGUAAGGCUCCUUCGGGAGUACACGAGCGGCGAACGGGUGAGUAACACGUGAGCAAUCUGCCCAUCUCUUUGGAAUAAGCGUUGGAAACGACGUCUAAUGCCGAAUACGACCUCCUUUCGCAUGAUCGGAGGUGGAAAGCUCCGGCGGAGAUGGAUGAGCUCGCGGCCUAUCAGCUAGUUGGUGAGGUAACGGCCACCAAGGCGACGACGGGUAGCCGGCCUGAGAGGGUGACCGGCACACUGGGACUGAGACACGGCCCAGACUCCUACGGGAGGCAGCAGUGGGGAAUAUUGGACAAUGGGCGAAAGCCUGAUCCAGC
rnacentral:rRNA from 1 species